rnacentral:lncRNA from 1 species
CUUGAGAGGGUGAGGGACUGGCCUCCUGCCUGGGAUGUUCUCCAGCCUCUGUCUGCCCCCUAGUGGAAAGGCUGGGGAAUGUGUGGGAGUUCACCGAGAAUGUCUUAGUGAAACCUGAACUAAGAAUCCCGAAACCCUGCCAUCUGCAGUUCUUGUUUCCCAGCAUCGUCUUUUCUUUUCUCAGAGAAUCAGAAUGCUCCCCCUCUGAAUCUUCUGCAGCCUCCCUAGGAUGAAUACCUCCAUUUUAGUGUGUUUUUCUGAAGCCCUCAGUCGGCCUCAGACAGCCCUGAUCCCCACACCACAGCACUUUCUCCUGUACAGUCAGCAACAGACACCUUUGCCAGGAAAUGCAAAUUAUCCUUAGAGUCCCACAAAUUAAAGAAGCAACACAGUGCUGUGCUAUUGAACAUGCUGCCACCACAAAAGCCUCUGUGUUUCCCAGAAUGUGUCUCUGUACUUAGUCAUUUAUUCGCGAGAACCUGCUAGUUGCCAGCCGCUAUACUUGGCUCUCAAGACACAGACCCUUGGCCAAGGCUCCUUCCUAGGGAAGCCUGUGGCCCAGAGAAGGAACAGUCUAUCCUUGAUUGCCAUGAGCCUCAGUCCGUGUCCCUACAAACCCACGCUGUGCUUCAGAAGCAAAGACCGUGGGGACGGAGCCAGGAGAUUGGUUCCAAAUUCUAGUCACAACAAAGCUAAGCCAGCGAGUGCUUUGUUCAAAUGACUCAGGUGGAUAAAUGAGGCCAGCACAGGCCGUCCUGAUACCACACACCUCUAGAACGCCCUGGCUGUGCUAGGAGCUACUGAUGUCACUGGGUAUUUUCAUCCCUUCCCAAGAUGCAGCGUUCUGUGUCAGCUUUGCGGAUGUUGCUAAGGGGAGGCCAGUUUUGCUGCACCCGAGCUCCCUUAGAUGACAAUCUGCAUGCUCUUCCUGCUCUGGUGGCACUUGGCUCUUGCCAGCCCUCUGCACUGCUUUACUCACUUCAAGCCUCCCUUCACUUUUUGUUUUCUUCUUGAAGUUCCAUUUUCUGCAUUGCUGACUAGAGAAGGAAAGGAUGUUGACAGAAGAAAACACAGGUGGGGUCCAGUUCUGCCCAGAGCCACAACCUUCCUUGAACCUUGUCCCUUUACAGAACUUACCACCCUAGUCUACAGAGCGAGUUCCAGGACAGCCUCCAAAGCCACAGGGAAACCCUGUCUCGGAAAACCAAAAAGAAAAAGGAAACAAAGAAAGAAAAAGCUCUGUUUAAAAUUGCAACAGAACCACCUUGACAAUAAAGGGUGUCUCUGAGCAAGUGCCUGUGUCUCCCUGGAAGAACUUCCCUUUGCCGUUUCCUCUGUCUCUCUGCAGUUCCCAAAUCUUGCAGAGGCCUUUCCUUAUUCCCAGAGCAGGGAAACUAAGCCAACCCAUAAUUUGGGCUUUGUAACAGAAGGGAAAACCCAGGGUACCAAGAUGCGCAAAUUCAGAAUGUUGAUACCUCAUUUAUGUUCUCCAUUUAUGAACCUUCUCAAUUAGCACCUUUUUUCCUUCCCUACCGCAACGAAGAAAAGGCUUCAGUUCUGCCCAGGGACUCUGCAAGUGGAUGGACAAUAAGCUGACAGGAUAAGUGAGGGAAAAGGCUACUCUCCUUUUUUCUUGCCACCUGGUCUGUUUCAGACACUGCAAAAAAUAGCUUCCCAGAAAAUCACACACAACCCCUCUGCCCCACGCAGUAAUGGAGGGUCUGCCACUUUGCAGGCACCUUUCAGAGGCUUAGAAUCAGGUUAUCAGGACUCCACCCCUCCAUUAGCGGCCCCCAGCCUGGAUAAAAGUCCUUGGUGACCUUAAAAGUAUUCCUUUUAAUCAGCAGUAUCAUUUUUGAGAGGAAACUCUUCCUAGCUUUCUGAGAUAGCAGGGCUCUGACUGUGGUUCCCUUCCCAGCCCAGGCCUUGGGGCCUGGAGAGCAUUUCCCUCUGUGAUGGGGAGACAGGACAGCCCUCUCCUGUGCUGUCCUGCACGUCCAGCGGUCCAGCGCACAGCUGCGCGGAGGAGGGGCACAUGCUCCGGGAGCAGCUUUCCCAGAGGCCAGACAGAGGCUCUGGCCUUGCUAACGAGUGCUGGGCGCCUCCCUCAAGAGCCUGAGGGUUCUUGGCAGGAUGAACUUUAUCCCUGCUGGGAGCGAUGACUUUCUCAGGCCACGCUGAGGCCAGAUGGCAGGUUACAGGGUGACCUGCUAGAGCUUUCGUGCCGAGAGGGCGGCAUCCAAGACAGCAGAGAAAGGCUCCAGGGCCAGCUAGGCCGCUAGGGGCGCCCAGCCGAGAACAGAGCUUACUGGGUCCUGCUGUCCCUCGGGUUUCUUGACAAUAUGUUGGGGACGCUGCCAGUGUUAAAGGCAGAGGCGCUGUAGAGCAUAACAGCAUAAUGCCUCCCUUUUAUAUAUUUGGAAGCUGAAAGUCAAAGCUAUGUCCUUGAGUUCUGCAAGCUGAAACCAGAUCUAGAUCGUAACAGCACGUGUGCGACAGUUUCCUGGUCACUGAUCAGGCCUCUGGAGACCGUGCACUCAAUGCAUGUGGGUCUGCAAAAGAGAGGUAUGGAUAUGGCAGGAUUUGUAACCACAGUGGCUCUGCACUUGGACCCAGAGUAGAAUGGUUUGACCUGAUGAUUCGUUAAAUGUCUUUGGUGAAGCCUGGUUUCCUGGUCUGUGAAAGGAAGUUUAAAAUAGUAGGCCCUAAAGUCCUGGGAUUCAAAUGAGGUGCGGUACUCAGUGCUUAGCACCGGGCCUGCUGUGGAAUGGCACUCCAUAUCCAUGGAAUGCCCAAAGGGAGAGAAUCAGGCACCAGCAGAACAAGAGGAAAGAUGCUUCUGUGUGAGCAGCGCUUAGGGAAAGGCACAGACUGGAGGGAUCUCCUAGAUGGAGGAAACAGCUUCCCCCCUUUACCCCGCCCCCACUUUUAUUAUUUUUCACAUCUGGGCACCUCUCAUCAUAGUGAAAUAUAUUCAGUAAGGUGGUGCCAGCUAUAAGUCCUAUUUUCUCUCUGUUGCUGAAGGAGGGAGGAUGGCAGGAAGUGGAUAAAAAGGAAUGAUGGAUGCUUAUAUAAAGUGUCAGAAUGGAGUUUGUGGAAUCAUAGAUUGUUGAAGACGAAGAUCAUGCCUGUGGACUCCCUUGUGUAAAUGAAAAAAGCCUUGAGAGGUCAAAUGAUGUCAAGUUUCAGACUCGAAUUAAGAGGCCUAAUAUUUGGAAUCCCAGGAGUUCAUUCAACCACUCUUCUUUGGGCAGAUACCUUUUAUACUAGCCACCAGUACAAGGUUUUGCUGCAGAGGGCAAAGAAAAGGGGGGGGUUGGUAAUAAAGAAAGAUUCCCUUAUUUUACCUUAUGUGAUUUCAUAUAUAAGAAUACCAUUUACUGUUAUUAUUCAUUUAAAAAAAUCUCUCUAAUUGACCUAAGAAGACAGCAUGCUUUGAACAUAUUUCGGAUGAGCCUGUAGAAUAUCCAGAUGAAUAUCUCCAGGAAAGUUUCCGAUCAUAGAUACCUGUCCAAUAGGGAAUAUUCCACAGAAGGUGGUCUCUGAAAUGGGGGCAGGGCUCAGGUGGCCAAAGAGUACAGGGUUGGGGGGAAGAAUAUCAAAUCUCAGUUUCUAAUAAUCAAAUACGAGAUUUUGAGAAGAGAUGAAGUGGAAUGAAAAUCAAGGAGGAAAAUAGCAUCACACAUUUCUCCAGGUUGAGGAAGUAAUCAUGAGUGAGAAAUGCCAAUAAUGUCAAACAAAUGAGUACUGGAAAAUGUCCAUUCAGUUUAGCAAUGAGGAAGUCAUUGGUAAGUUAUGCAACACUGGUUUCAUUCAGUGGGGCUUUGAGAGCAGAAACCAAGUCUGAGUUGUGUUAGAAGAAAGUAGAGUUGAAAGAGAAGAAGUCAUACUGGGUUUCAGGAGAGUUUGGACAAGGAAGGGAAGGUUACAGCUGGAAAAAGUGAAGUUUGUUUUUUGUGUGUAGUUGUUGUUAGAUUUCUGUUGUCUUUACAUUGGGAACGGGCAAAUGCUUACAGAGAAAGACAAUAAUCCUAAUGGAAAGAUAAUGACUAAUCACAAAUACAGACUAAGACAUUCCAGAACUAUGAGAGAAGAACCCAGUGUCGGCCAGGCAAAGAGAAACUCUACUACGGACAUCACAAGCAAAGCUAAGCCUCUGUGUAGCCUAGGUUCUAUCCAAAGUCUGCUGUGUGGCCAAAGGUGAUCUUUGCAGCAAGGUGGCCCUGUAAUAAAGCAUCUCAGGCUAGAUCCUUGAGACCAUGGCUGCUAGGAGGUCACAGCAAGAGAUUAGUCUAUUGCAGUCAGAACAGAGAGGAGGGCAGGGCAAUUAGGGAACACUACCUCAGACCAGACAGACCACUAGUUUACUACCUUCAUACUUCCAUCAGAGAUGGACUAGGUACCCAGGAGAAGAAAACAAACAAACAAACAAACAAAAAGAAUGUUUCUGUGGAAUAAAUACACACAGGGUAGCUACUGUGAGGACCAGUGCAGGCUAUGUUCUUUCCUUUCACCUCAAUGAAGACAAGGUGGCCAUUGACUAUCUUAUUCCAUCCACCCAUACUCAUUGUUCAGGUGGUAUGAUUAAAACCCCAAACAGUUCUUAGAAGCUCAGCACUGUUGAAUGGUGGUGCCCUGCUCUGUCUGCCAAUAACUCUUAUUUGGUGGAUUGUGGAAAGCAUAAGGAAGGUUUUCCAAAGGAUAGACAAUAGAGGACACUUGGGGACUUCAUGGUCACCCCUAUUUACCAAGAAGUCUGGGAUACAUUCAAGAGGCCAGACUUGAGAAUUCAUUGUAUAAAGGGAGGAGCAGAGGUAAAAAUAAAAUAAAAUGAUAUACUAUUUAAUGAAACUAUAGCAGGAAACGCCUCAAAUCUACAGAAAGAAGUAGGCAUCCAAACACAAGAGGCUUAUAAAACUCCAAACAAACAUGACCAGAGAAGAAACUCCCCACAACAUACUAUAGUCAGAAUAUCAAAAAUGCAAAGUAAGUAAUUCCAGUAGCAGAACAAGAAAAACUCCAACUCACAUACAAAGGCAGAAAUAAUCAGAAUUACCCUAGACUUCUCAGCAGCAGCCCAAAAUCAGAAAAGUAUGGAAUGAUGUAUCUUAAGCUCUGAAAGUAAGUAACUGUGAACCAAGAAUGAAAAACUAACUUUCAAAACUUGAAGGAUAAAUACGUGUAUUUCAAAACAACACGAUGAAGGUAAUUCACAGAAAGCUGGUACCACAGGAAGCUCGUGGUGGAAUAAUUUACAGGGAGAAAGAAGAGAGCCCUUUCCAUAUGAACACAUGAAAGCAUACACUCCAAGAAACAACAUAUAAACAAACUAGACUUGGAAAAGAAAUAUCAUGUCCAACACAACAACUCAGCAAACCAUCAGAACCGAUAUGAGAGAAGGAAAUAAAUAUCAACAAUCAAACAAAACAGCAUUAUCUAACAAAGGCAGCCAAAAUAGCAAGCUCUUUUCCAUAAUAACCUGAAUGUAAAUGGCCUCAAUUCAGACUAAUGGACCAGAUUUAGAAAAACACAACAACAACAAAACAAGAAUCAGGGCUGGAGAGAUGUCUCAGUGGUUAAGAGCAAAGGCUGCUCUUCCACAGGGCUUGAGUUUGAUUCCCAGCAACCACAUGAAGCUUCACAACUGUCCAUAACUCUAGUUGCAGGAGAUCUGUCUUCUCACCUCUGAGGGCACCAGGCAUGCACAUCGUACACAGACAUGAUGCAGGCAAAAAACCCCCACACACAAAUUUUGAAAUUUUUGUUUAAAAAAAAAAAGAGCCAACUACAUAUUGUCUCCAAGAAACACACUUUUAUAUAUCAAAAAUAGCCAAAAGUUUUGUAUCAAAGGUUGGAAAACAAACUAUCAAGCAAAUGGAAAAAUAUAAACAAGCAGGUAUAGCUAUCCUUAUAGCUCAUAGGGCAAGCUUCAAAGAAAAAUUAAUUAAAAAGGGAUACCACAUAUUAAUAAGAGGAACACUUCAACAAGAAAAUAUAAUGAUUGUAAACAUUUAUGAACCAAAUAUCAGAACCCCUAAUUUUAUAAAAAUAGAAC